rnacentral:rRNA from 2 species
CCCUGAAGGGCCGUUGAAGACGACGACGUAGAUAGGCUGGGUGUGUAAGCGUAGCGAUACGUUGAGCUAACCAGUACUAAUGACCCGAGAGGCUUAACCUUACAACACCGAAGGUGUUU